GUACGAACGCUGGCGGCGUGCCUAAUACAUGCAAGUCGAACGCACUCUCGUUUAGAUUGAAGGAGCUUGCUCCUGAUUGAUAAACAUUUGAGUGAGUGGCGGACGGGUGAGUAACACGUGGGUAACCUGCCCUAAAGUGGGGGAUAACAUUUGGAAACAGAUGCUAAUACCGCAUAAAACCUAACACCGCAUGGUGUAGGGUUGAAAGAUGGUUUCGGCUAUCACUUUAGGAUGGACCCGCGGUGCAUUAGUUAGUUGGUGAGGUAAAGGCUCACCAAGACCGUGAUGCAUAGCCGACCUGAGAGGGUAAUCGGCCACACUGGGACUGAGACACGGCCCAGACUCCUACGGGAGGCAGCAGUAGGGAAUCUUCCACAAUGGACGAAAGUCUGAUGGAGCAACGCCGCGUGAGUGAAGAAGGUUUUCGGAUCGUAAAACUCUGUUGUUGGAGAAGAAUGUAUCUGAUAGUAACUGAUCAGGUAGUGACGGUAUCCAACCAGAAAGCCACGG
rnacentral:rRNA from 1 species